rnacentral:misc_RNA from 1 species
AAGACUAUAGACCUGCGGAGUACCUGCGGAGGGAUCAUUAAUGAGUUUCUAAAACUCCCAACCCAUGUGAACAUACCUCUGUUGCCUCGGCGGCCUACCCGGUAGCUACCCUGUAGUUACCCUGUAGCCCGCCGAAGGACAUCAAAACUCUGUUUUUAGUAUUAUCUCUGAGAACAACUUUUAAAUAAGUCAAAACUUUCAACAAUGGAUCUCU